rnacentral:rRNA from 1 species
GAUGAACGCGGCGGCGUGCCUAACACAUGCAAGUCGAGCGAGAAGCCAUAAAAGGACACUUCGGUAGAAUUAUAUGGCGGAAAGCGGCGGACGGGUGAGUAACGCGUGGGAAACCUGCCUUUCACAGAGGGAUAGCCGAAGGAAACUACGAUUAAUACCUCAUAAAGCAAAAGCUUCGCAUGGAGCGAUUGCCAAAGAAUAAUCGGUGAAAGAUGGUCCCGCGUCUGAUUAGUUAGUUAGUAAGGUAGCGGCUUACCAAGGCGACGAUCAGUAGCCGGCCUGAGAGGGUGAACGGCCACAUUGGAACUGAGACACGGUCCAGACUCCUACGGGAGGCAGCAGUGGGGGAUAUUGCACAAUGGGCGAAAGCCUGAUGCAGCAACGCCGCGUGAAGGAAGAAGGCUUUCGAGUCGUAAACUUCUGUCCAAAGGG